GAUUAAGUUAUUAAGGGCGCACGGUGGAUGCCUUGGCACUAGAAGCCGACGAAGGACGUUACUAACGACGAUAUGCUUUGGGGAGCUGUAAGUAAGCUUUGAUCCAGAGAUUUCCGAAUGGGGAAACCCAGCACGAGUUAUGUCGUGUUAUCUGCAUGUGAAUACAUAGCAUGCAAGAAGGCAGACCCGGAGAACUGAAACAUCUUAGUACCCGGAGGAAGAGAAAGAAAAAUCGAUUCCCUGAGUAGCGGCGAGCGAAACGGGAAGAGCCCAAACCAAUAAGCUUGCUUAUUGGGGUUGUAGGACACUCUGUACGGAGUUACAAAAGAAUUUGUUAGACGAAUAACCUGGAAAGGUUAAUCAGAGAAGGUAAUAAUCCUGUAGUCGAAAACGAAUUCUCUCUUGAGUGGAUCCUGAGUACGACGGAGCACGUGAAAUUCCGUCGGAAUCUGGGAGGACCAUCUCCUAAGGCUAAAUACUCUCUAGUGACCGAUAGUGAACCAGUACCGUGAGGGAAAGGUGAAAAGUACCCCGGAAGGGGAGUGAAAGAGAACUUGAAACCGUGUGCUUACAAGUAGUCAGAGCCCGUUAAUGGGUGAUGGCGUGCCUUUUGUAGAAUGAACCGGCGAGUUACGAUCUGAUGCAAGGUUAAGCAGAAAAUGUGGAGCCGUAGCGAAAGCGAGUCUGAAUAGGGCGAAUGAGUAUUUGGUCGUAGACCCGAAACCAGGUGAUCUACCCUUGGUCAGGUUGAAGUUCAGGUAACACUGAAUGGAGGACCGAACCGACUUACGUUGAAAAGUGAGCGGAUGAACUGAGGGUAGCGGAGAAAUUCCAAUCGAACUUGGAGAUAGCUGGUUCUCUCCGAAAUAGCUUUAGGGCUAGCCUCAAGUGAUGAUUAUUGGAGGUAGAGCACUGUUUGGACGAGGGGCCCCUCUCGGGUUACCGAAUUCAGACAAACUCCGAAUGCCAAAUAAUUUAACUUGGGAGUCAGAAUGUGGGUGAUAAGGUCCAUAUUCGAAAGGGAAACAGCCCAGACCACCAGCUAAGGUCCCAAAAUAUAUGUUAAGUGGAAAAGGAUGUGGCGUUGCCCAGACAACUAGGAUGUUGGCUUAGAAGCAGCCAUCAUUUAAAGAGUGCGUAAUAGCUCACUAGUCGAGUGACACUGCGCCGAAAAUGUACCGGGGCUAAACAUAUUACCGAAGCUGUGGAUUGUCCUUUGGACAAUGGUAGGAGAGCGUUCUAAGGGCGUUGAAGCAUGAUCGCAAGGACAUGUGGAGCGCUUAGAAGUGAGAAUGCCGGUGUGAGUAGCGAAAGACGGGUGAGAAUCCCGUCCACCGAUUGACUAAGGUUUCCAGAGGAAGGCUCGUCCGCUCUGGGUUAGUCGGGUCCUAAGCUGAGGCCGACAGGCGUAGGCGAUGGAUAACAGGUUGAUAUUCCUGUACCACCAUUAUUCGUUUUAAGCGAUGGGGGG
rnacentral:rRNA from 1 species